rnacentral:rRNA from 1 species
AGAGUUUGAUCAUGGCUCAGAACGAACGCUGGCGGCGCGCCUAAUACAUGCAAGUCGAGCGAGAAGGUGUAGCAAUACACUUGUAAAGCGGCGAACGGGUGAGGAAUACAUGGGUAACCUACCCUCGAGUGGGGAAUAACUAGCCGAAAGGUUAGCUAAUACCGCGUACGCUUCCGGGACUGCGGUUCCGGAAGGAAAGCGAUACUGUGAGUAUCGCGCUCUUGGAUGGGCUCAUGUCCUAUCAGCUUGUUGGUGAGGUAACGGCUCACCAAGGCUUCGACGGGUAGCUGGUCUGAGAGGACGAUCAGCCACACUGGCACUGCGACACGGGCCAGACUCCUACGGGAGGCAGCAGUAAGGAAUAUUGCGCAAUGGACGACAGUCUGACGCGGCGACGCCGCGUGGGGGACGAAGGUCUUCGGAUUGUAAACCCCUUUCGGGAGGGAAGAUGGGAUGGGGUAACCCAUUCGGACGGUACCUCCAGAAGCAGCCACGGCUAACUUCGUGCCAGCAGCCGCGGUAAUACGAAGGUGGCAAGCGUUGUUCGGAUUUACUGGGCGUACAGGGAGCGUAGGCGGUUCGGUAAGCCCUCUGUGAAAUCUCCAGGCUUAACCUGGAACAGUCGGAGGGGACUGCUGAGCUAGAGGAUGGGAGAGGAGCGCGGAAUUCCCGGUGUAGCGGUGAAAUGCGUAGAGAUCGGGAGGAACACCUGUGGCGAAAGCGGCGCACUGGACCACUACUGACGCUGAGGCGCGAAAGCUAGGGGAGCAAACAGGAUUAGAUACCCUAGUAGUCC